rnacentral:rRNA from 1 species
CGCAAGGACCACUGAAGGACGAGCCUGCGGCCCAUCAGCUAGUUGGUGAGGUAAGAGCUCACCAAGGCUAAGACGGGUAGCUGGUCUGAGAGGAUGAUCAGCCACACUGGAACUGAGACACGGUCCAGACUCCUACGGGAGGCAGCAGUGGGGAAUAUUGCGCAAUGGGCGAAAGCCUGACGCAGCCACGCCGCGUGAGCGAUGAAGGCCUUCGGGUCGUAAAGCUCUGUGGGGAGAGACGAAGAAAGCCCGUGAAGAGCGGGCCUUGACGGUAUCUCCUUAGCAAGCACCGGCUAACUCCGUG